UACGUAGGGGGCAAGCGUUGUCCGGAUUUAUUGGGCGUAAAGCGCUCGCAGGUGGUUCAUUGCGUCGUGCGUGAAAGACCCCGGCUCAACUGGGGAGGGUCGUGCGAAACGGGUGAACUAGAGGCCAGUAGGGGGAUGCGGAAUUCCGGGUGUAGUGGUGGAAUGCGUAGAGAUCCGGAGGAACACCAGCGGCGAAGGCGGCAUCCUGGACUGGUCCUGACACUCAGGAGCGAAAGCGUGGGGAGCGAGCCGG
rnacentral:rRNA from 1 species